rnacentral:lncRNA from 1 species
AUAUCUUUGAGCCAAUGGUAGGUGAGGCAAGAAACCAACUGGCUGCACCUGAUCCACUUACAGGAGAUGCACCGGCCAAUUUUCUUGACAAAUAAAGGUCAGGCAUAUCAUCAUCAUCAUCCAGAAGUUGCUCAAGCUCAUCUCUCACCUGCAAUUAAGUACAUAAGAUGAUGAACCGGCCAAUUUUCUUGAUAAAUAAAGGUCAGCCAUAUCAUCGUCAUCAUCCAGAAGUUGCUCAAGCUCAUCUCUCACCUGCAAUUAAGUACAUAAGAAGCAACCAUAGAGAGUUGAUUCAGUGCACAUUGGACCAAAGGAUAGCAAGGGCAGGUGGGAGCAU